GGAAGGUCCCUAAACCGAAAGGGGCUCUGCCCGCCCGAGGAUGGGCCGGCGGCCGAUUAGGUAGUUGGUGGGGUAACGGCCCACCAAGCCCAUAAUCGGUACGGGCAGUGAGAGCUGGAGCCCGGAGAUGGACACUGAGACACGGGUCCAGGCCCUACGGGGCGCAGCAGGCGCGAAACCUCCGCAAUGCUCGAAAGAGCGACGGGGGGACCCCAAGUGCCGUGGUACAACCACGGCUUUUCCGGAGUGUAAGAAGCUCCGGGAAUAAGGGCUGGGCAAGGCCGGUGGCAGCCGCCGCGGUAAUACCGGCGGCCCGAGUGGUGGCCACUAUUAUUGGGCCUAAAGCGUCCGUAGCCGGGCUUGUAAGUCCCUGGCGAAAUCCCACGGCUCAACCGUGGGGCUUGCUGGGGAUACUGCAAGCCUUGGGACCGGGAGAGGCCGGGGGUACUCCUGGGGUAGGGGUGAAAUCCUAUAAUCCCAGGAGGACCGCCAGUGGCGAAGGCGCCCGGCUGGAACGGGUCCGACGGUGAGGGACGAAGGCCAGGGGAGCAAACCGGAUUAGAUACCCGGGUAGUCCUGGCUGUAAAGGAUGCGGGCUAGGUGUUGCUUGGACCUCGAGUCCAAGCAGUGCCGCAGGGAAGCCGUUAAGCCCG
rnacentral:rRNA from 1 species